CCUACGGGCGGCAGCAGUGGGGAAUAUUGGACAAUGGGGGCAACCCUGAUCCAGCCAUGCCGCGUGUGUGAAGAAGGCCCUCGGGUUGUAAAGCACUUUCAGUGAGGAAGAACGCCUGGUGGUUAAUACCCAUCAGGAAAGACAUCACUCACAGAAGAAGCACCGGCUAACUCCGUGCCAGCAGCCGCGGUAAUACGGAGGGUGCGAGCGUUAAUCGGAAUUACUGGGCGUAAAGCGCGCGUAGGUGGCUUGAUAAGCCGGUUGUGAAAGCCCCGGGCUCAACCUGGGAACGGCAUCCGGAACUGUCAAGCUAGAGUGCAGGAGAGGAAGGUAGAAUUCCCGGUGUAGCGGUGAAAUGCGUAGAGAUCAGGAGGAAUACCAGUGGCGAAGGCGGCCUUCUGGACUGACACUGACACUGAGGUGCGAAAGCGUGGGUAGCAAACAGGAUUAGAUACCCGAGUAGUC
rnacentral:rRNA from 1 species